rnacentral:rRNA from 1 species
AGAACGAACGCUGGCGGCAGGCUUAACACAUGCAAGUCGAACGCUCGUAGCAAUACGGGAGUGGCAGACGGGUGAGUAACGCGUGGGAACAUGCCCUUUGGUUCGGAACAACUCCGGGAAACUGGAGCUAAAAACCGGAUAAGCCCCCCGGGGGAAAGAUUUAUCGCCGAAGGAUUGGCCCGCGUCUGAUUAGCUAGUUGGUAGGGUAAUGGCCUACCAAGGCGACGAUCAGUAGCUGGUCUGAGAGGAUGAUCAGCCACACUGGGACUGAGACACGGCCCAGACUCCACGGGAGCAGCAGUGGGAAUAUUGGACAAUGGGCGCAAGCCUGAUCCAGCCAUGCGCGUGAGUGAUGAAGGACCGUUAGGGUUAGUAAAGACUCUUUCGUCGCGCGACGAUAAUAGACGGUAGCGUGAGAAGAAGACCCGGACCGUAACUUACGUUACGCCACGACGACGACCGC